rnacentral:rRNA from 1 species
AGGACGAACGCUGGCGGCGUGCCUAACACAUGCAAGUCGAACGGAACUGUUUUGAUUGAUUCUUCGGAUGAAAGAUUUCAGUUUAGUGGCGGACGGGUGAGUAACGCGUGAGUAACCUGCCUCUGAGAGGGGAAUAACGUUCUGAAAAGAACGCUAAUACCGCAUAACACAUAAUUGCCGCAUGGUGAAUAUGUCAAAGAUUUUAUCGCUCGGAGAUGGACUCGCGUCCGAUUAGUUAGUUGGUGAGGUAACGGCUCACCAAGACCGCGAUCGGUAGCCGGACUGAGAGGUUGAACGGCCACAUUGGGACUGAGACACGGCCCAGACUCCUACGGGAGGCAGCAGUGGGGGAUAUUGCGCAAUGGGGGCAAAACCCCCUGACGCAGCAACGCCGCGUGAAGGAUGAAGGUUUUCGGAUUGUAAACUUCUUUUAUCAGGGACGAAAAUUGACGGUACCUGAUGAAUAAGCUCCGGCUAACUACGUGCCAGCCGCGGC